rfam:Triticum aestivum genome assembly, contig: Triticum_aestivum_CS42_TGACv1_scaffold_407166_5BL
GAGGUACUCCCUCCGUUCCGAAUUAUUCGUCGCAAAAAUAAAUGUAUCUAGAUAUAUUUUAGUUCUAGAUAUAUCUAUUUCCGUGACGAGUAAUUUGAAACGGAGGGAGUACCAC